UGAGGAAUAUUGGUCAAUGGGCGUAAGCCUGAACCAGCCAAGUCGCGUGAAGGAUGAAGGUUCUAUGGAUCGUAAACUUCUUUUAUAGGGGAAUAAAGUGCGCCACGUGUGGUGUUUUGUAUGUACCCUAGGAAUAAGCAUCGGCUAACUCCGUGCCAGCAGCCGCGGUAAUACGGAGGAUGCGAGCGUUAUCCGGAUUUACUGGGUGUAAAGGGAGCGCAGGCGGGAAAUCAAGUCAGCUGUGAAAACUACGGGCUCAACCCGUAGACUGCAGUUGAAACUGUUUUUCUUGAGUGGAGUAGAGGUAGGCGGAAUUCCGAGUGUAGCGGUGAAAUGCGUAGAUAUUCGGAGGAACACCAGUGGCGAAGGCGGCCUACUGGGCUCUAACUGACGCUGAGGCUCGAAAGUGUGGGGAGCAAACA
rnacentral:rRNA from 1 species